AAGUGAUGAAAACAAGCAUACCCAACAACACCAUACAGGAACUAGAGAAAAUAAAGAUACGACCGGCGAAGUCUGGACUUUAUUUGACAAACAAAGUUUGUAGACGGUAAACAAAUGGACUUUACAGGACGAUAUUCACAAGCUGGAAUACUUUUAUGAGAAACCAUUUUGAUGCUUUUGAAUCAGUGGAUUCUUACGGACAACUGGAAUAUAAAUAAUUGAGGAUCGGACACAUAUUACGGCUUUAUGGCCGCGUCAAAUGUAGGGAGUCGCCGUGUGUUUCUUGUAUCUCACGUUUACCAUGCUGUUGAAUAUCAAUGAUUUAUGGUUUAGUGCUCAUGAUUUCUGCAAAAUCAACUGGAUGAAUGAAUUGCUGAGAUUCUACCCUUUCUAACGACGUAUAGUAUGUCCGUAAUGAUGAAAGCUGAAGCGAGAUACGUCACUGCGCAGUGUAGAAAAUAGUCGCUUAUCUGAAAUCGCCCGCCGGCGGGCGGGUGGGGUGCAUAGAAUGAGUCAGAAUCACGUGACUAUAAACGACCUAUGAGGAUCAAGACAGUUCAACGGUCGUGCUUAUGCCAGUGGGCCAGUUACGUCAUCGCAAAUACGGAAAAUCGGCGCGAACACGGAACUUGGCACUUUGGGGAAAAAAAGGAAAAGUCUGCUGUCCAUCCUCAGCAACACUCAGAUUUUCGGUAAGUGGCACAAGUUGCUCAGCUAUCUGACACAAACUUGAGUUAUUUUUGCGUUUAUGUACUUUUGCGUCGUGUGUGUUGAUUUUUUUCACUUUUCGUUUCAUCGCCGUCGAGGAUUUCGGCGGAUUUUGAUGACAACGACAGAGGACGAGGGAGGACUUCGCCACAGCACACUGUGCCGCCGUUUUACAGAAGAACAAAUAAUGGACUCCAUUAAGAGGGCAAUACAGACCGCGCUACCACAGCUAGAUGAAGCAAAACUUGAAACUUUGGUCAAUGAGUUGGUGACCAAAGUAGGUGUUGAAGGUCCAGAGGAUCUGCAGUUCAUUCAAGAAGAUGACCUCAAACAUCUGCUCACACCCAUUCAGUGCAGAAAGAUUCUUCAUUCCUUGAAAGCAGGUCCUGUUGAUACCCAGCCGAGCUCUUCAUUGCCUGAGCCACUGCCAGUUGCCUCUUCCAGCACAUGCCCCAUAUCACCCAUCAGUCCCAAUUCUGCAUGGGUGGACAAUUUUGAGGUGCCAUGGAACAAAAUGAGGCCAAGUCUUAGAAGAGCAGUUGAUGCUGGUGAGAAGCCAGCUCCGGAGGACCGCCGACACUUGAUAAGAGUCACUGUUGAUGCGAUGAGAGACCAUUCCUUGAACCCUACUCGCAGCGAGUGCGUGGUAGUGGCAAAAGCCAUCACUCAAAAAUAUCCAAAUACCUUUUUAGACACAAAUGAAGAGGGGGAGCUACUUGGAUGUGGGUAUUUCAGUGUUUUAAAUCAGCUCAAGACCAGAGUAGAGUAUUUGAACCGAGGCAACACUCUUUCCCGUCUGAGGAAUCCCAAACGCACCCAGAGAGAUGAUGAGGAAGGUGAUGAUGACGACCAGCCACCAGUAGCUACAUGCGCAAGACGUGACAGUUAUGGGUGUGUUCGUUGGCAGCCAGAAGACUAUCCAGAAGGGGAAACAUCAGCAUCAUUAGAGGAAAAGAAGCUUGAGAUGUUGGAUAUAUUCAACCGAGAGGGACUCAAGGGCGCUGAGAGAGGAAGGGUAGAAGACCUAAUGGCAAUCACUUAUGCCAAACAGCGGGAAUACAUCAACGCAAACCCUUCCCCAAGCAUUCUGGAUGUAGGCAAAGAGUGGCCAUUUCUCUUUUCACAGAAGUUUUUAUUCUCACACUUCACCACUCUCACCAGUGUUGAACUAUACACAAGACUGAACGAAGACUUGAACAAAAAGGGUAAAAGACUUCUGGAUUUCUUCAGUAGUCAGAUUACAAGGUGGAAGAAGGAAGUAAGAGCCGUUUUGAAGGAAGCCCUAAAGAAGGACCGAGAAGGAACUGAUGGCCUAGCAGCAAUGCUUGUGAUGUUGGCAUACUUCAAAGAGCAAGAGGAUUCUCUUUUUCUCCUUGCUGAUUGUAUUGCAGGCUGGCGAGCUUCCAAUGGCAUCUUGUCCUUGGUCAGGUGACUACCACUCCUGCAGACGCAGAGGCCCACCUGUCUCUCCCCAUAACACCGAGGAUCAUCAUGCUUGGUUAAAAAGACAACGUCUGCGGAGAGACAAUCCUGAGUGCCCAAAAAUGGAUGCUGUCAAUUGAGGGGAGGGUUGUAAUCCCAACUGCUGCUCACCUCACUGACUUUACCACUGCCUUGGCUGCUCUCUUCGCCUGCUACUAUGUCUUCAACCUCGAGUAUCAGGUGGAAGCCAACACCACAUUGGAGUUUGUUCAGAGGUUUUUAGUCAGAAUUAAUCCGGACUCCACGAAAUGCACAGCCAAGGAGCAAAUAAGCCGGAGGACUGGGAGAGUGGUGAAGCGGAAGAAUGCAUAUAUGAACCCCAAUGUAAUCUCCUUCAUCAGGGAGUUCACAGAGUUUGAUUGGCUUACUGACUAGAUGCAGGGCUUCAACUUGGAGCCUUGAGGCCUUGGACCAUUUGUGGCUGGUAGGGGAAUGAGAGGUCUUCCCUUCUUUGUUCUUUCCCCACCAUGUUUUUGUAUUUUCUAUUUGAAAUGUUGUAUUUUACAAAUUUUAUAGUGCCCUGUUGUAUUGUUCAUGCAAAUAUUCACUAUUUUAGAUUAUAUUACCCUUGUGUUUUAAAAAAAAAUAUAUAAUUGUGAAGCAAGUUGUUUCAUUUGCCAUACAGCACUUAUCAGUGUCACAGUUCUAUUCCUUUUCACCAAAUGUUAAAUAAAUAAUGGUGUUAACAAUU